CCGGCGGCGGCUCCGCCCCGGCCCCGCGAUGUGGUUCUUCCCGCCCCCCGCCCGCGGGAGGAGCCGUCCCCGAGCCGCCCGCGUUCCCGCAUCCGCCGCGGCCGCUCCCGGUGCCGGCCCGAGCGGAGCCCGGUCCCGACCUGCGGAGCGCUGGAAGAGCGGGAGGCGGUCGUUUCUCUCGAGAGAACGGCGCUCCGCUCCGUGUAUGCGGCCGGAGCGGGCGGCUGCAAGCCGGGGAACAAAGAGGAGCGGAGGGGCCCGGAUCUGCUCGGAGGGGACGUUGGGGGGUUGCCCGCAGGGUGCGGGGAUCGCUCCAUCCCCGCCCUCCCGCCUCGAGACUCCGCAGGAGUUUUCCUGCCGCUCCCCGCAGUUACCUGGAUGGGGCGGGGGAUCUGCCGGCUGUUCUCCCUGGUUGUUCUGUAGUGUUGUGACAUUUUAAAAAAAAAUCUGGUCAGAAGGCAAUGUUAAGUAUCUGUUAGUGGGCUGCCUGUCAACCAUAAGAGCAAGGCAUGUCCCAAAAAUGUAAUUAUCUCAAAAUUCAGCAUUACAAACCACGGACACGCAGAGAAAAUGCUGCGCUUAGCGCAUGUCUGUCUCUAGAGACCAGAAAGGGCAGCUCCUGUGCUUCAGCAGCCCCAGGAGGAGCAGGGCUUGAGGCUGUCCUCAUCAGGAAAUCUGUCUGGGAUCAAAAAGGUGAAAACAGUGGAAUCCAGAAGUAGUAAGUGGAGAGGUUUUUUUGCUGGGCACAAAUUAAGGCUGUUCAUCUGCUGCAGCUUCAUUUUUUCCUAAGCCUGCUUGGACUUUUAAAGUGUGUCCUCAGCACUGAGCAUCCUACAAGCAAAGCAGGUGCCUUCACAACCUGAUCAUCACGCUUUGUCUGGUUACUCUUAUGACCUCUCAGCCUUUGCUGAGUUGCCCUGUUCCCAGUCUGAUUUUUCUUUGUAAAUGUUUUCUUUUAGUCAAAUCCCGAUGGUACCAACAGUACUUCAAGCCAGGAAAGCUGCUGAGCUGAACGUAGCCCUGCACUCAACCCUGAUACAUUUUUGGGCCCAGCACAGUGCUGCACCAUUGCAUCCUAACGCAGCGCCAUUCCCAUCGCUGUGGGGGUUUGUGGGGCUGCAGGGCUGGGCAGCAGCCGGGAGCUGCUGGAACACAUCACUCUGUGAGGCCUCCGUGCUCCAGGAUCGCCGGCGUGGUUGGCGCAAGCAGCUCCAGGAGCUCAUGUCCCAGUAGCUGCGAGGCAAUGGGACAGAUCUCUGGGCUUUUGUCCAAAGAGGUGAAGCAAAGAGGUUCGAAUGCCUGUCCUGCCUAUACCUGGCUCCCUCCUGCUGUGCUGUUUGCUCAGGUAACUCAGGGCUUUUCUCAGAGCACUCUUAUUCAUCCUUCCAUCACCCGUAUGUCCUCUGUCGCAAGGAGCAGGGGCUGUUGGGAGAGCGUGGGGCUCUCAGGGUAAGGGAAGAGCUUCCUUGUGGAUGUUUAUUGGUACAGUGACACAUUGAGUCUGGGGGAACAUCCAAGCACACACAUUUCAGUUACUGAGUACUGCUUGUCAGCGUGAGAGCUUCACCUUUGAUACGAGCCACCCCGUGCUGAGCAGAUUGUGUCUGGCAUGGCAGGAGGCUCCGUGAGAGCUGUGAAACACCUGCACCACAAGCUGAAGGUGUGGAUUUGUUAUUGGUAGGAGUAAGGCAUGUAGGAGGCCACCAGGAGAUUUUUAACCAUUGGGAGUAACAUAAAGGGAGAUGCUUUUUGAUUUAGUACCCCUCCAAAUGAAAUGGCAUACGUAAUACAUUCCAGUAUGUCCCAGUACAGUUCAGUACAUUGAAGCUCAUUGGACCUUGUUGUACUAUGGGAAAUGAGACAGAAAUGAGACAGCUCUGCUCAAGUUCCUCACCUCAUUUCCUAAGUCUUGAAGUGACAAAAAGCUGUGAUGGUGGAGGAGAUACAAAUCACCCCCCAGACAGCACUCACCACCAGCUAAAAUCCCACUUCUCAAGGUCCCACUGCUUCACCACCAUCUCUUCUACCAUCGGUGGUAGGAAGGAGAAAGGAGCCUUGGUGGGAUGGUGUAUCCUGGCCAUGCCUACAGUGCAGAGCUCUGUGUGAUGCUGUCCUGGGAGCCCCGGGACUCAGCCGGAGGAAAUGCUGUACAGAAAUCCUCCUUACUGGGAUAAGAGACUGUUGUUCUGCAUGAUAUUUUGGUUACAAGGUAUUUCUAGAUGUUCACAGUUAAUUUCUUACCUAUUUGAAAGAAAAUAAAAAGGUUGUUGGGUA